ACAGUGUUCGCUGCCCGUACGGGUAGCAAACCUCACCCUUUGUAUAUUAUAUCUCUGUUGCUUUGGCACGCCGCCUUCGGGCACCGGCCUAGGCUGGCUCGCGCGUGCCGAGGGACCUACAACUCUGAAAUGUUAGUGUCGUCUGAGUACUAUCUAAUAGUUAAAACUUUCAACAACGGAUCUCUUGGCUCUGGCAUCGAUGAAGAACGCAGCGAAAUGCGAUAAGUAAUGUGAAUUGCAGAAUUCAGUGAAUCAUCGAAUCUUUGAACGCACAUUGCGCCCGGUGGUAUUCCGCCGGGCAUGCCUGUUUGAGUGUCAUGAACUCUUCAACCCACCAGUUUCUAGUAGACUGCGUUGGUGUUUGGAUUUUGAGCGUUGCUAGUCUGACUAGCUCGUUCGUAAUACAUUAGCAUCUCUAAUUCGAAUUCGGAUUGACUCAGUGUAAUAGACUAUUCGCUGAGGACACUUUUAUUAGUGGCCGUACUAGAAACAGUAGAAGCUUCCAACUAUUUAGUCAACUUUGAUUUAGACCUCAGAUCAGGCAGGAUUACCCGCUGAACUUAA
rnacentral:rRNA from 1 species